GAAUGAUACACACUGAGUUCAUGAUAGUGUUUAUCUUACAGAGAGAGGGAUAGACAGAGAAGAAUGAGAUGAGGAAGGAAGACAGGGAACCUCAACUAUCAGGCAGAGUUCAGGACUUGAUGGGAACAUAAUCAAGGAUUUAGAAUGUACUCGUCCCAGACUGCGUCCAUGUGGUCACCGGUGCGGAAAGAAUCCUAUACUACUUAGGACGGUGACAGGCCUGCAGCGGGCGGCCGUAGGCGACUCCUCCUCCCUGCCCCCUUCCCGCUUCUCCUCCCUCUGCACCUCCCCUUACCCUCUCCUCCUCCC
rnacentral:lncRNA from 1 species